AUGAACGCUGGCGGCGUGCUUAACACAUGCAAGUCGAACGAUGAAGCUGGAGCUUGCUCUGGUGGAUUAGUGGCGAACGGGUGAGUAACACGUGAGCAACCUGCCCCUGACUCUGGGAUAACAGCCGGAAACGGCUGCUAAUACCGGAUAUGCACCAUGAACGCAUGUUCUGUGGUGGGAAAGAUUUUUCGGUUGGGGAUGGGCUCGCGGCCUAUCAGCUUGUUGGUGAGGUAAUGGCUCACCAAGGCGUCGACGGGUAGCCGGCCUGAGAGGGUGACCGGCCACACUGGGACUGAGACACGGCCCAGACUCCUACGGGAGGCAGCAGUGGGGAAUAUUGCACAAUGGGCGAAAGCCUGAUGCAGCAACGCCGCGUGAGGGAUGACGGCCUUCGGGUUGUAAACCUCUUUUAGCAGGGAAGAAGCGAGAGUGACGGUACCUGCAGAAAAAGCGCCGGCUAACUACGUG
rnacentral:rRNA from 1 species